CGGGUCAUAACGAUGCUCUUUCCUAUUCCCCAGGUGUAUUAAUUAACCUGUGGAACCACCGGGUCGUUGCGUGUCCGCCUUGGAGGACUUUCACCGGUGCCUUCCAAGGCCAGAGCCCAGGCCCCUCAUGAAGCUGGCUGACGGGAGCUGGGAAGAGGCGCCAGGCCCCCUACUUGGAGGAUUCCUGAGCGCGCCAACCUGGGCUCUAGAAAUGCAGCCUUUGUUCCCGCUGGAGCCGGGGAUCACUGGAAGCUCUGAGAACCGGGGCCGGGAGCGCGCACUGCAGCCGAACCUGCCGCGGCGUCCGUCGGAGAUGAAGGGGUCGAGAAAACGUGGUGUCCACACAGCGGAGUUGCAUUCAGCCAUAAAGAAGAACGAAAUUAUAUCAUUUACAGAAAAAUGGAUGGAAGUAGACAUCAUUGUGUUUAGCAAAAUAAGCCAAACCCAGAAGGUCGAGUCGUUUGUUUUCUCUUAUGUGGAAGCUGCAGAGGAAAGGGGGAAAGAAAGGUCGGGGGCGGGGCAGCGAUCUCCAGAAAAUCAGAGGGCCAUGGGUCAGUAGUGGAAAGGGCCCAGCGUGUGGGAGGAGGGCAGGGAGCGGGGAAGUGCUGGGGAGGGAUGUUGGCCAAAUUAUCUUGCUAUAUUGUGUGCAUGUCUAGUGUGUAACAACAAAUCCCAUCGUUAUGUACAAUUAUAAUGCACCAAUAAAAAAAUGUGGGGGAAAAAAAAGAAUUGGGGCUGGGAGCAUACUUCAGUGGUAGAGCCCUUGCCAAGUGUGCCCCAGGCCCUGAGUUCCAUUCCCAGUCCCUACACAAAGAAACAAAAACAAAAAAGAAACCAGCCCUGUGUUGAAUUUCUUUUGGCCAUUUCAACCCACCAGAGGAGUCUCCGUUUUUUUCUCUUAUUCUGUUUGGACACCGUCCUGGUCAUUGGAACUUAUCAGGACCUCCUUAAUGGAAGGGCUGGGCAGUAGACCCCUUCACUCACCUUUCUUUCUUUAUCAAGGAGUUAUAGAAGAACAUGCUUGUUAGCUUUGCCUCCUGAGUAGCCAGGUUUGUUUAGUUUUUAGAGUCUUGUUUUUAGCUUGCCACACAAGUUAUAUAUGCUUUGUGUGUGUGUGUGUGUAACCAUUUAAGUAGAAGAGGAAAAAAUAAACCACCAAGAAUCCCAAUAACAAGUGA